GGUAUGGGUAGAUAUUUCAGAAUUCCCUCCCUAUCCAGGCAUGUCACUACAGAGAGAUGAGGCUGGCCAUGCCCAGGGGAGAAGAUGGCCAUCUAUGAACUAAAAAGUGGUCCUGAACUAAUGGGGGAUGCUGUUAGCAUCCCCAUCUUGAACCUGCAACUUCUAGAACUCUAAGGAACAUUUUUGCCUGCCGGCCUGUGGCAUGCUAAGGUCAUGACCUUGAUUCCAGCAUGAGACUUUGACAGCCAUGAGAGCUCAUGGAAGAAGCUGAAUUGCUUCCUCCCACAAGCUGGACUCCAGACUGACCAGCUUGGCCAGGGCUGUGUGAAGUACAGCGAAGAGACCAGUGGAGCUGGGCUACAGGUCCCCAGAAAUACAGCUAGCAGACUGCUGCCCCAGUGAGAGUGGACCAUUUAAUGCGCAUGCCCGUGCACUAAAAACUAGUGCACCCCUGUGAUUUCCAGGCAGAAGAACCUCCAAGGUUAAGCGCAACCCCCAAGUCUGCGGGGGAUUCCUUCCCAGCACUGUGCCUUCAACACCGCUUCAAAAAACCUUUAAAAAAA
rnacentral:lncRNA from 1 species